UGAGGAAUAUUGGUCAAUGGGCGAGAGCCUGAACCAGCCAAGUAGCGUGCAGGACGACGGCCCUAUGGGUUGUAAACUGCUUUUGUAUGGGGAUAAAGUCAAUCACGUGUGAUUGUUUGCAGGUACCAUACGAAUAAGGACCGGCUAAUUCCGUGCCAGCAGCCGCGGUAAUACGGAAGGUUCGGGCGUUAUCCGGAUUUAUUGGGUUUAAAGGGAGCGUAGGCCGGAGAUUAAGUGUGUUGUGAAAUGUAGACGCUCAACGUCUGACUUGCAGCGCAUACUGGUUUCCUUGAGUACGCACAACGUUGGCGGAAUUCGUCGUGUAGCGGUGAAAUGCUUAGAUAUGACGAAGAACUCCGAUUGCGAAGGCAGCUGACGGGAGCGCCACUGACGCUUAAGCUCGAAGGUGCGGGUAUCGAACAGGAUUAGAUACCCUGGUAGUCCGCACAGUAAACGAUGGAUGCCCGCUGUUGGUACCUAGUAUCAGCGGCUAAGCGAAAGCAUUAAGCAUCCCACCUGGGGAGUACGCCGGCAACGGUG
rnacentral:rRNA from 1 species